rnacentral:tRNA from 1 species
GGCUUUAUAGUCAAUAAUGACAUUAGACUGCAAUUCUAAAGGAGUAAUAGAUUUACUAAGGCUU